rnacentral:rRNA from 1 species
GACGAACGCUUGCGGCGUGCCUAAGAAAUGCAAGUCGAGCGAGACCAGGGUGCUUGCACCUGAAGUCUAGCGGCGAACGGUCGCGUAACACGUAAGCAACCUGCCCCUAAGACCGGGAUAGCCCACCGAAAGGUGGAUUAAUACCGGAUGUGGACACAACCUGGCAUCUGUGUUGUGUUUAAAUCAAGCAAUUGGCUUAGGGAUGGGCUUGCGGCCUAUCAGCUAGUUGGUGAGGUAACGGCCCACCAAGGCGACGACGGGUAGCUGGUCUGAGAGGAUGGUCAGCCGGACUGGGACUGAGAUACGGCCCAGACUCCUACGGGGGGCAGCAAUUAGGAAUCUUGCGCAAUGGGGGAAACCCUGACGCAGCGACGCCGCGUGAAGGAUGAAGGCCUUCGGGUUGUAAACUUCUUUUAAGGGGGAAGAAACAAAUGACGGUACCCCUUGAAUAAGCCCCGGCUAACUACGUGCCAGCCGCCGCGGUAAAAC